rnacentral:lncRNA from 1 species
UUUUUUCAAGUUUCUAGCAAGACCAUUUAGUUAAUGCCAGCUGUCGGGAAGAUACCAAGGUGUAUGUUUUAGCCAUGCAAUUUACAGUUUUAUUUUCCUUUUAGGUUUGUUCUUAUUUAAGGCGAUAUGAUUGUUUUGGCUCCUUGUAGUGACUCUUCGUGUUUUAAUCAAGUCAGAUUGUUGUAUUUAUUCCACUAUUUUGCAUUUAAAUGAUGACAUAAAAGAUAUAAAAAAUUUAAAACUGCUAUUUUUCUUAUAGAAGAGAAAAUGGAUGUUGGUGAUUGUAUUUUAAUUAUUUAAGCAUCUCUGUUUACCUGCCUGGGACAACAUUUUAUGGCAGUCUUAUGUGCAAAGAUCCUAAAUGGACAAAACAAAAUUUAAACUGCUUACAAUGAUCCAGGAGUUGCAUUAUAGCCAAUAGUAAAAAUAAUAAUGAUAAUAAUAAUUAAUAAUAAUAAUGAAACCAUGUCUAUAGCUGUAGAUGGGCAUCACAUCUGUAAAGCAAUCAAUUGUAUAUUUUUGUGAUGUGUACCAUACUGUGUGCUCCAGCAAAUGUCCAUUUGUGUAAAUGUAUUUAUUUUAUAUUGUAUAUAUUGUUAAAUGCAAAAAGGAGCUAUGAUUCUGUGACUCCAAUCAGUUCAGAUAUGUAACUCAAAUUAUUAUGCCUUUCAGGAGGAUGGUAGAACAAUAUUAAACAAGCUUCCACUUUU